CUCCAGGCAGUUCUGCCACCGCAGGAACAUUCUGCCCAAGGGAUAGUUUCCCCUGCAGCUGAUUCUCGGAGAUCCUGACCAAGCCAAGGGGUUCAAGACAGCUUCUGCAACUUCACAAAGACUGAGACUGGAGGGGGAGGUGGCUUGAAGAGGGCUCCCUCAAGGGCACAGCAGGCCCCAGUGUUUGGUGUUUCCGUACCCCUCUCUCCAGUGCUACUGCCUAGCUCUUGCCCUGAGGCUGGGGCUGGUGGAAGGGAAGUGGGUGGUAGUGUUGAUUCUGCCAGGGCACAACUGUGGGUAUCAUGAGAUUCCCAGGCCAGGGUCUAGAGACAGAGGAUGGGGCUCACUGCCUAUAACUUCAAGGAAGCAAGGGACCAGGGCUGCCUUCAGAGCCAUAGCUGGUGCUGAGAUGGUGUUUAUCAAGUGAACAUGUGACGUGCAGUUUCAGAGGAGAGGGAAAGACUUUUUGUCUCCCCAGAAUACUCCCUUCUAGCUCAGGGAUUCCUACAAUUCAAUUCCAUCGCCAAGUCCAAGGUUCCCUGUGCAGACACCCUGGGAGCUCAGUGGCAGGCGUUCCAUUCACAGGGCGUCAAACAGUUACAGCUGGAGUUUUGCUGCAGCGAGACACGGGGGACCUCAGUGCCCAGCAUACCCCAAAGGUGCAGGCAGAGGUGCAGGAGGAUGCAGAACAGGUGGCUGCCAUCAAACUUGGCCCUCCUUGUGGUUUUACUAAGCAUCAGCCCUAAGCACAGAGACCCAUCUGGGAGCCUACUGGGGUCCUCAAUCUGAUCUGUUCUCUGGAAGGAAACCCCCAGGGCCACUUGCCUUGACCAACUUUUAGAGCAACAGCUAAGCUUUCGGGGGACCAUCCCCAAGUCCUUCCACUGAUGUGAUCUACAGUUGUGAGGGGACAUUUGCCUUGGAGUCCCCAAAAUGCCUUUCCCAAGCAAGUCCCCUCUGAUCUCCAUAGAUUCCCAUUCUUCUCCCCAGCCCCUGCCCGUACACAGGGAACAAACUCCUUUAUUCCCCUGGGAAAGUUUAUACAUUCCACCUCCCUCCUGUUCAGCCCAUCAAAUAGACCAAGUGCCCUCUCCUUCCCUAAAGUGCAGCCAGACAAACACCUCCCAGCCCCUUGGUGCUGCACACAUUCUCCAAGGGAAGCCGGAGGCUGGGGUGCCCAACCACGCACUCCAU
rnacentral:lncRNA from 1 species